ensembl:rRNA 5S_rRNA 5S ribosomal RNA
GUCUAUGGCCAUUCCACCCUGAAUGUGCCAGAUCGCGUCUGAUCUCAGAAGCUAAACAGGGUCAGGCCUGGUUAGUACUGGCAUGGGAGAUAGCCUGGGAAUACUGGGUGCCGUAGGCU